GCCAUCUAAGGUUUGCCUGGGGCUAGAGAAUCCUCUUCCAAGUUCACGUAUGUGUAUAUCAGCAAGAGGCCUUAGUUUCUCCCCACAAAGCUAUUGAUUUGAGGCCUCAGUUCUUCAUCACUGGGAAGAACAUCAUGACAUGUCAGCUGGCUGUCCUGAGAACCAGAGAUUAAAGAGUAGAGCAGAAGCCAUAAUAUCUUUUAUGAUCUAGCAUUGGAAUUGACACACCAUUCCUUUCGACAUAUUCUAUCAGUUAUGUAGACCACCUCAGAGUGGGAGGAUACUGCACAACAGUGUGACUAUCACGAGGAAGAGAUCACUGGGAGUCAUCUCAGAGACUAGCUACCACAGGAGCAGAAGGACCUGAAAAAGGAAGAGGAGCUGGGCAUGGUGCAUAUCAGUAAUCCCAGCAGCUGAGGCAGGAGGUUGCAGGUUCAAGGUUAGUCUCAGCAAUUUAGCAAGAUCUUAUCUUUAAAGAAAAAAAAAAAAAGGCAGGUUCCAGAUUCAGAACCUUUGACAAUGACAUUUUUAAAAUUUUUUUUAUAGUAGAUGGACACAGUAUCUUUAUUUAGUUUUUAUGUGGUGCUGAGGAUCGAACCCAGUGCCUCACACCUAGGCAAGCACUCUACCACUGAGCUAUAUAUCCCCAGCCUAGACAAUGACAUUAUUUUGAUCUAAAUAAUAUAUUUCAUUUUUAUUGCAUUUGUUAUAUAGUUUCUUUUGUG
rnacentral:lncRNA from 1 species